CCAGACUCCAUCCGCGGCCGAGGUCCUCAGCUUCCUUGGCAGAACCUUCGGCGCAGGCGCGGCACUGACACUUGCUGUCUACUUGCUCCACAAAUUGUGUUUAAAAAUGGCCUGGAAAUCCGGAGGAGCCAGCCACGCGGAGCUGGUCAACAACCUUCGCAAAAAUGGCAUCAUCAAGUCAGACAAGGUGUACGAAGUCAUGCUUGCCACAGAUCGCGGUCACUUUUCUAAAUGUAAUCCCUACAUGGACUCUCCACAGUCAAUAGGCUAUCAGGCAACUAUCAGCGCUCCACACAUGCACGCAUAUGCCCUGGAGCUCCUCCACGACCAGCUGUACGACGGCGCCAAGGCCCUGGACGUGGGGUCCGGCAGCGGGAUCCUCUCGGCCUGCUUUGCACGAAUGGUGGGCCCCACGGGGAAGGUGAUUGGAAUCGAUCACAUCAAAGAGCUGGUGGACGACUCGGUAAAUAACCUGACGAAAGACGACCCCAGUUUGAUAUCGUCGGGCCGCGUGAAGCUAAUGGUGGGAGAUGGGAGGAUGGGCCAUGAGCAAGAGGCCCCUUUCGAUGCCAUCCAUGUGGGGGCGGCAGCGCCCACCGUGCCCCAAGCACUGCUGGACCAGCUGAAGCCGGGCGGCCGCCUCAUCUUGCCGGUGGGCCCUGCCGGCGGCAACCAGAUGCUGGAGCAGUACGACAAGAUGGAGGACGGCAGCACCACCAUGAAACCCUUGAUGGGGGUGAUCUAUGUGCCUUUAACAGACAAAGAGAAGCAGUGGUCCAGGUGGAAGUGACUUCCUUCUCCCUUUCCUCCCUCCCCCCUCUCUCUCUCCUUCUCACGGCGGCAAAGGGAUGAACUCUAAAGAGGAAGACUUCACGAUGCAACUUGAACUUUAGGAGAACACUAAAGACUGAGGCUCUGUCCCCAUCGGGAUCCGUUGUUUUUCAAUGCCUCACCUCACAUACCAUAACACGUAUUUCUGUCAGCUCAUUACAGUACGACUGAUGCUACGGCCUUGAAGGGGCGGGCAGGGUGCUAUUGGAUGUUUACGAGUGGGAUGCUUACAGCUGAGCACUGGGGAGUGAAACGGAGAGAGAGGCGAAGGAGAGGUCUCUUGUUCAUCUGAUUUUUAUGCAUUCUUAUUAUUUUUUUCUUGCAUUGCUGGAAUUUUGUUUGUGUGUGUGUGAUAUAUUUUAUCAGUUAAAUUCCCCACCAUUAUCGUCAACAGGCCAUUUUGAGCGUAUACAAACCUGCACAUAGGUACAAUGCAACGGUAACCACGACGAGCUUUAGGAGGAAAGGCAUUGCCGCCGGGCCCAAGAGUCUGGCUCACUCAAUCACCCGUCCCGCUUACAGUCCAAGCGCUUGCCACCUUAGCCCAGUCUUUCGCUGUCCUUUCAACACACAGAACGCACGUUCAAAAGCAGCACAACUGGGAGCUAAGUUACGCAGCCUCGUUGGGUUGGAUGAUUCAGCACUUGUAGCACAUGGCACACUUACACUAAGAAAAUGCGUCUGAAUGCUAGCAACUGCUAUAUUACAUAAAGAUGGGAGCACUAGUUAUUCAGAGGAAAGUGCCAGAGCAGUGCUUUUCAUCUGGGGCUGAUGUUGCUUUAGGUUUUGGGUUUUUGUUGUGAGAUUUUAUUCAUCAUCCAGUGCAGGCUCUACCAGCUACUGGUGGGGAUUUGGGCCGUCGCUGCUUUGCCAAAUUAAACAAUAUAGGCCUACAGCAAAUGUCUGAUUUCUUUUGUCGUGCAAAGCUUUGAGAAAGGGAUUAAAGAAAGCACGUUUGUAGUGUGGUGUGACAGUUGAGGAUGCAGCACUUUCAAACUUCCUGGAAUGAUAUGUGACAAUAAAAAGAUGCUGGUGA